AGAAUUUGAUCCUGGUUCAGAUUGAAUGCUGACAGCGUGGAUGAGGCAUGCAAGUCGAACGAAGCGAAACCCUCGGGUUUUGCUUAGUGGCGGAAGGGUUAGUAAUACAUGGAUAACCUGCCUCUAACACGGGAAUAACGGUUGGAAACGACCGCUAAUUCCCGAUGUGGUGCAGUUAAGGCAGCUUAACUGUAUUAAAUGUAGGGACUUCGGUCCUGGCGGUUAGAGAGAGGUCCAUGCGAUAUCAGCUAGUUGGUGUGGUAAUGGCGCACCAAGGCUAAGACGUCUAGGCGAGUUGAGAGAUUGACCGCCAACACUGGGACUGAGACACUGCCCAGACUCUUACGGGAGGCUGCAGUCGAGAAUCAUUCGCAAUGGGGGCAACCCUGACGAUGCGACGCUGUGUGAGUGAGGAAGGCCUUCGGGUUGUAAAACUCUUUCGCUUGGGAAUAAGAAAAGGUGGAGAAUAUCUAUCUGAUUUGAAGGUACCAGGUAAAGAAGCACCGGCUAACUCCGUGCCAGCAGCUGCGGUAAUACGGAGGGUGCAAGCAUUAAUCGGAUUUAUUGGGCGUAAAGGGCGCGUAGGCUGGGAUAUAAGUUAAAUGUGAAAUUCCACAGCUCAACUGUGGAGCUGCAUUUAAAACUAUAUUUCUUGAGGGUAGGCGGAGAAAACGGAAUUCCAUGUGUAGCGGUGAAAUGCGUAGAUAUAUGGAGGAACACCGGUGGCGAAAGCGGUUUUCUAGCUUAUUCCUGACGCUGAGGCGCGAAAGCAAGGGGAGCAAACAGGAUUAGAUACCCUGGUAGUCCUUGCCGUAAACGAUGCAUACUUGGCGUAGCCGGACUCAACCCUGGCUGUGCCGUAGCUAACGCGUUAAGUAUGCCGCCUGGGGAUUACGCACGCAAGUGUAAAACUCAAAAGAAUUGACGGGGACCCGCACAAGCAGUGGAGCAUGUGGUUUAAUUCGAUGCAACGCGAAGAACCUUACCCAGACUUGACAUAUAAUAGACCGCGCAAGAGAUUGCGCUUUCCUUCGGGACUGCUAUACAGGUGCUGCAUGGCUGUCGUCAGCUCGUGCCGUGAGGUGUUGGGUUAAGUCCCGCAACGAGCGCAACCCUUAUCACUAGUUGCCAACAUUUUAGGUGGGGACUCUAGUGAGACUGCCUGGGUUAACCAGGAGGAAGGUGAGGAUGAGGUCAAGUCCGCAUGGCCCUUAUGUCUGGGGCUACACACGUGCUACAAUGGUCGGUACAGAGGGCAGCUAAAUCGCAAGAUUAUGCAAAUCCCUAAAGCCGAUCCCAGUUCGGAUUGUAGUCUGCAACUCGACUACAUGAAGUUGGAAUUGCUAGUAAUGGCGUGUCAGCAUAGCGCCGUGAAUACGUUCCCGGGUCUUGUACACACCGCCCGUCACAUCAUGGGAGUUGGUUUUGCCCGAAGUCGUCUACUCAACG
rnacentral:rRNA from 1 species